GCUUAAACUACAAAGAGAGAGAGUAAAAAGUCACUGACAUGAAGAGGAUCUCAACCUGGACGGGAAUUUAACCAGGAAACAUUGAAUCUGUUGCUUUUUAAAUCUGUUUCUGUGUCUGUGGAGCAGCAGGUGUGUCUCGCCUGAGUGAUGCGGCUGAUAACCAGCAGACGGAGAUGAGAUGGACCUGAUCUCCGCUGGUCCCUGCAGGACCCAAACAGACUCCUCAGGUGGAGAUGAAACAUAUCAGUGGACGUCAAGAAAUCAGAAUCAGAAAGUUGAAAUCAUACCUGAUAAACUAAUGAAGGCUCUGUUUUUCAGAAUAAAAGCCCAAUCUAA